AAUCGCUAUUAAUCUGUAAAUAUAUAAACGCACAGAGCAUAUAUCACUGAUUCUUGAACACGGUUUCCUUAUAUUUAAAUAAGAUUCCAUGUUAAUGUGUUAAUAGAAAAAUGUAACUUUGACAAUUCAGAUAAAAGUACAUUAUGACUGACAGUAUCAAAAACCUUUUUAAAUCAUGGAAAACGGCACCAACAACACCUGAAUUUAAAUUGUUCAACAAAGUAACACUUUGUUGUCUCUGUAAUAAUAAAGCUGCAAGCAGCGAUUGCCAGGGUUUAAGUGCUUUAAGCACAUAUUAAAAAGACAUUACAUGUUAUUUACCAAGCUUGUAACCAACUGAACCAAUGAUUUUAAAAAAUCAUUUCUGGCAAAUAUUUGGCAUAGAAAUAUUAUGUUUUUUAACAUUUUUGACUGUUAUAGCACAAGCUGUAGUCCGAUCUCCCUAAAACUUUCCAUGCUUGUUUAGAAUCACCUGUCACAUUUACUCACAAAGUUUCAUGAAGUUUUGAGUUUUAAUUUUGGCUUUAUAGGCUUUUGGGUAUAUUUGGGCAGGUCCCUUUUCUAAACGACCCCGCUGUAGCAACAUUUUUUGAUAAUUAUUAACCUAGAGAGUACAAAGAACUGUACUGCAGUGUUUUUUUUUUUUCAGAAAAAAACCUAGGACUAGUUUGCAGAAGUAGUUUUUUUUUUUUUUUUUUUUUUUUUUUUUUUUCUCAAUCAAAUGGUUUAAUUGACAGCAGUGUUUCUAGAGGCAAAGUUGUUGGGAAUGUGGAGGUCUAUCAUAUUGUGUGUAUGUGCAAAAAAACAAUGCAAUAUACAAUUGUUUAUGCCCUUGAAAAAUGAGAUAUUGCAGCACCUUUAGGAUCCUGAGUCAAACAGGCCCACUGAGUUUCAAUCUGAUCGACCUCCGUUAACUUUGUCUAAUAGGUGCUCAAAGUUCAUCGGCUAAGGCAGCCAUGUUUUUUGAGAUACGCAAAUGUCCUUAUAGUACCGAUUUAAUGGUUGCAUAGGUAUAGCCAUUUUUAUGUUUUCCUUCUUAUAGCGCCACCAAGUGGCCAAGCUCUGCAUCUUUUAUCACGUGACCUCAGAUUCAGCGAUUACAUGUGUGGUGUGAGUUUGGCGAAGAUCUCUCAUUCCGUUCAAAGUUAUAGCUGUUUUAGUACAGGCAGCCCUGCCCCUUUCGAACAUUUUGGCAUCCCUUUGGGAUGGUGAGUCGAAAGUUCAACUUUUUAAAAAUAAUUAUUGAUAUUCAUUUUCAGCUAAUCUUUCUGCAUCUUUCUGAUUGAGCAAAAAAUCUAGGACUAGUUCGCAAAAGUAGGUUUUUCAAAAAAUCCGAAAUACCUGAAAAUUUCGUACAGAUGAAUAUGAGACAUGCAUUUUGUCCGGCAUUAGCCAACACUGUAAGCCCGGAUUUUGUAUCUAAUUAAACCAUUUAAUUACAAUUGAACACAAUAUUUAAGUUUUACUGCAUUGCUUAUAAAAUAUAAGUAGAUUCUACUAAUUUGUAGACAUAUUUGAACCUGUGAAUAAACUUAAGUUAAAUUAACUCGUAUUAUGAAAUUUAUCUCCUGACCACGCCUCCUUCACCGGUGCUGCGAGUAACAGCGCCAUUUUGUCACUGUGAUUGUGUAUGAAUUUAAGCUGUGGAUGAAUGUGGAAAUUUAGAUUUAGAUAGUUCUAUUGGCAUUGUUUUCCGCCAUUUAUCUUUUAUCACGUCCCUCGAGAAACUCUUUGUGAUCGGCAAAAGUUGUUGUUCGUCUAAACGACGGGACAUUUCUCAUCCGUUGAUAGCUAGUGUUCUCACUCGCCUGCGCUUGAACCCCUGACUGGCGAGUUCGACUAACAUUUUUUGCCUUUUUCUUUCAAUGAUUUCUUUUUCACUCGAGGAGCUGUUGUUUGUGAGGACUGUAAAUUUAGUUUUACUCAUACAGUAGCCGCGAUUCCAGCCGAGGAGCGACAAAGGUGGAGCUAAUAUGGUUCAGAGUCCUCUUAACGACUAUCUUGUUUUGGAAGAAAGAAGAAAUGGAAGAGAUGCUUUGAAAGUGAGGCAGCUGACAAGACAGACUUCAGUAAGAAUCCUCAGUGUUGAUCAAGAAAGUUCACAGCUCACCUCAUCUAGAGUGGGAAUCAUCUUGGAAGAAAGCUUGGUAAUGGAUGAACUGACCAAUCUCAGGCCUUCUAUGUCCAUUGUUUUCAGACUGAUUUCCCUGCCUACACCUGGACUAUCCUAAGUGUAUGAAAAGUAUUUUAUAUUUUUUGUCGGGAAAAGGUGAGCUGACACCUAAAAUUCAGUAUUGCCAAUAGUGUGAACUCAGAGUGUGGAAAAAACAUAUCGUUUUGAUGCUGUUUGUUGCGAUUCUGAGGAAAACUUGUUUGUGUGCUUAACGAUAAGUUAAUUUGUUGAACUAGUAUCUUUUUUAACUUUUUUUUUUCUCCCAUGUUUUAUGGGGAAAUGUUUUCAGGAUAUGAAAAAAUGGUUUUGUUGUGUUUUCAAUUGAAUAUUUGUAAUUGAAUUGAUUUAAAAUAAAAGGGAAAAUUGCAUUAA